rnacentral:lncRNA from 1 species
CAUAAGUAUCCACGUGAGGUGCUUUGCCCGAUCAGAGGUUAUCGAAGUUACUGGAGUGCUAGCUCCCUUGUAGACUUUCCUCUUAAUAGCUGAUGUGGCUCCUUCUCCGAAUCUCUUGGACUCUUUCAGGAGGAGAUGAAGGACUUGAGGAAGAAGAGGUGAAGGAAGAAGGAAAUAAGAGAAACCUUUUCUCACUUUUA